rnacentral:rRNA from 1 species
AUUGAACGCUGGCGGCAUGCUUUACGCAUGCAAGUCGAACGGCAGCGCGGGCUUCGGCCUGGCGGCGAGUGGCGAACGGGUGAGUAAUGCAUCGGAACGUGCCCAGUAGUGGGGGAUAGCCCGGCGAAAGCCGGAUUAAUACCGCAUACGACCUGAGGGUGAAAGCGGGGGACCGAAAGGCCUCGCGCUAUUGGAGCGGCCGAUGUCGGAUUAGCUAGUUGGUGGGGUAAAGGCUUACCAAGGCGACGAUCCGUAGCUGGUCUGAGAGGACGACCAGCCACACUGGGACUGAGACACGGCCCAGACUCCUACGGGAGGCAGCAGUGGGGAAUUUUGGACAAUGGGGGCAACCCUGAUCCAGCCAUGCCGCGUGCGGGAAGAAGGCCUUCGGGUUGUAAACCGCUUUUGUUCGGGAAGAAAUCCUCUGGGCUAAGACCCCGGGGGAUGACGGUACCGGAAGAAUAAGCACCGGCUAACUACGUG